GAGUUAACUGUUCAUUCGGGGUUACUGUUCAUUCAUGGGUGAAAAGAUCAUUUUGCCCUCAUUUGAAAUUUUGUUACGGAUCUGCCACUGACCAAUAUUUCCCCCCUCUUCCUCCCAGAGCACCUAGACCGAGUUUUUCCUCUCUUCCUCCUAAACCAAACAGCUGAUUUGACGCUGGAAGAUGCAACCAAGACUUCAGCUUCAGAAGAUCAGAGCAAGACGGAGUCGAACCCUAAAUCAAUGCAAGACGAGAACGCCAAGUCCAAGCAAGAGGAUUGGGGCAGCUCUAUUCGCCCAAUCUACACCUUCUCUACUGUUGAGGAAUUCUGGGGAUUCAAGAAGUUGGGAAAGCCAGGCUGUUUUGACACACUUACAGGGAGGUGUUUGGACAGGAAGAAUAGAGACAAGGUUUCUAAAGACAAUGUGAAGGAAGGGAAGCUGCUAGAAAAGUAACACUGCUUUCCUGUCUUUCCGGUUCGAGAUUUUGCUGCUUCUUCUUCUUCAGAAGGAACAGAAGUUAUAACCUCCUCAUUGAUUUUGAUAAUUGUUAAUCUUUCUAAUUCCAGCCCACCGGAAUCAGGAACAAAUGAGCUUCUCAUCAACACGGAUGAAGCACUAACAACAGACAAAUACCUCCAAAGAACUCAUGUAGAUUAUUUUGAUGACAACUAACCACCUUUGCAAUUUUUUUGAACAAAUGUUGGUUAAAAUACCCCAGCUUCUGCCCAAAACAUCAAUUUUUUUGGAAUAUGUGAUUGCAAGUCUAGUCAAAACUCCAGCUUUUGUAAUGUGUAAAAUGAUAACAUUUUAAGUUAAGUUAGUGUUUCUUACCUUA